AUUGAACGCUGGCGGCAGGCCUAACACAUGCAAGUCGAACGAGCGGCGGACGGGUGAGUAAUGUCUCUGAAACUGCCCGUUGGAGGGGGAUAACUACUGGAAACGGUAGCUAAUACCCCAUACCAUCACAUGUGUCCAGAUGGGAUUAGCUGGUAGGUGGGGUAACGGCUCACCUAGGCGACGAUCCCUAUCUGGUCUGAGAGGAUGACCAGCCACACUGGAACUGAGACACGGUCCAGACUCCUACGGGAGGCAGCAGUGGGGAAUAUUGCACAAUGGGCGCAAGCCUGAUGCAGCCAUGCCGCGUGUAUGAAGAAGGCCUUCGGGUUGUAAAGCACUUUCAGCGGGGAGGCGUUACCCGCAGAAGAAGCACCGGCUAACUCCGUGCCAGCAGCCGCGGUAAUUC
rnacentral:rRNA from 1 species